GAUGAACGCUGGCGGCGUGCCUAAUACAUGCAAGUCGAACGAAGAUCUAGCUUGCUAGAUCUUAGUGGCGAACGGGUGAGUAAUACAUAAAUAAUCUGCCCAUAUGACUGGGAUAACUAUUGGAAACGAUAGCUAAUACCGGAUAGGUUGAUCGGAGGCAUCUCUGAUGAAUUAAAGUAGGAUUUCUACCCAAAUGGAUGAGUUUAUGGCGCAUUAGUUAGUUGGUGGGGUAACGGCCUACCAAGACGAUGAUGCGUAGCCGACCGGGGAGGGUGACCGGCCACACUGGGACUGAGACACGGCCCAGACUCCUACGGGAGGCAGCAGUAGGGAAUUUUCGGCAAUGGGCGCAAGCCUGACCGAGCAACGCCGCGUGAGUGAUUAAGGCCUUCGGGUUGUAAAGCUCUGUUGUAAGGGAAGAACAUUCAGGAUAGGAAAUGAUCUUGAACUGACGGUACCUUACCAGAAAGCCACGGCUAACUACGUGCCAGCCGCCGCCGUAA
rnacentral:rRNA from 1 species